rnacentral:ncRNA from 1 species
UGGUGUUGUGUUAUUAUUCCAAUUAACACACAAGAGGGAAACCGGUCAGAAUCCGGUACAGUACCCGCUACUGUGAUGCCUGUUUCUUCUGCAAAGAAGAAUUAUACGGAUAAAUUCUUACACCACUGUUCCGUUAAACGAGGGAUGGGAAGGUAUUUGUCCGGGGCGAGUCAGGAGACCUACCAAAAUAAG